rnacentral:lncRNA from 1 species
GUGAGGGCAUGCAGUGCCAACGCAUUGUCCUGAGGUCAACCAGUGGCUCGGACCCUGCGCACGCUGCACCUGUUUCCGGCAGGCCUCUCUGCUCAGGGCGCCACCAAGAUGUGAGCUGAAAGAGGGCCUUGCCAUCCAGUCUUCUCUGCCUGACAGGGCCCCAAGUGAGAGCAUGCAGUGCCAAGUCGUCGUCCUGAGGUCAACUGGUGGCUCAGGCCCUGCGCACGCCGCACGCAUUUCUGACAGGCUUCUCUGCUCAGGGCCCCACCAAGAUGUCAGCCUGAAGGAGGGCCUUGCCAUCCGGUCUUCUCUGCCUGACAGGUAGGCAACAUGGUUUUUUCCUGAGGCUUGCUUCAGUUGGGGAACUGGACAGCGCGGGUCGGGCUGAGGGAAGCUGUGCUUCUCUCAGAACUAGGCUGGCACACUCAGAACGGGAGCAUGUAGAAGUUCUGCCCUGGGUCCCGUUCUCAUGGUAGUAGCAGCAGCCAAUCUCGAUGCACUUCUGAUGGGCUUCUGUGAGGCUGCAUGAAGGGGUGCCUCCUCGGAUGCCGUCCCUGAUCCGAGGGUGGCGGCCUGCCUUAGGCUUCUGUACCUACACACGGGGGAGAACUUUUCUUUCUCUGAGAA